UGAAAGAGAACCUGAAACCGUAUGUCUACAAGCAGUCGGAGCGAAAGCGACGGCGUGCCUAUUGAAGAAUGAACCAACGAGUUACGUGCACUAGCGAGGUUAAGUGGAAGACACGGAGCCGAAGCGAAAGCGAGUCUUAAGAGGGCGGAUAGUUAGUGUACGUAGACCCGAAACCGCAGUGAUCUACCCAUGUCCAGGUUGAAGCGCAGGUAAAAUUGCGUGGAGGACCGAACCUGUGAGCGUUGAAAAGCUUUAGGAUGAGAUGUGGGUAGAGGUGAAAUUCCAAUCGAACGCGGAGAUAGCUGGUUCUCCCCGAAAUAGCUUUAGGGCUAGCCUCAAGUAGUAAGUAUAGGCGGUAGAGCACUGAUCGGGCUAGGGGCCAUAAAGGUUACCGAACCCUGUCAAACUCCGAAUGGUUAUACUGUAGAGCUUGGGAGUCAGACUACGAGUGAUAAGAUCCGUGGUCAAAAGGGAAACAGCCCAGACCACCAGCUAAGGUCCCCAAUGUCGUACUAAGUGGAAAAGGAUGUGGGGUCUCUAAAACAACCAGGAUGUUGGCUUAGAAGCAGCCACCAUUUAAAGAGUGCGUAAUAGCUCACUGGUCGAGAGACCCUGCGCCGAAGAUUACCGGGGCUAAAGUACGAAACCGAAGCUGUGGCUACGACUUAGGUCGUGGGGUAGGGGAGCGUUCUGUGAGGGCUGAAGUCGUUCUGUAAGGAACGGUGGACUUCACAGAAGUGAGAAUGUUGGUAUGAGUAGCGAAAAGAAUGGUGAGAAUCCAUUCCACCGAAAGCAUAAGGAUUCCUGGGCAACGAUCGUCGUCCCAGGGUAAGUCGGGACCUAAUCCGAGGCAUGGAGCGUAGGAGAUGGACAACUGGCAGAUAUUCCAGUACCGGUAAUGAUUGUUUGAGCGAUGGAGUGACACAGGAGGGCAGGCAGGCAGGAGAUUGGUUGUUCCUGUACAAGCGUGUAGGGUGGAACGUAGGCAAAUCCGCGUUCCGUGAGCCUGAGGCGUGAUGUGGAGGUUCCAGAAACGGAACUGAAGCUGCUGACCCCACACUGUCGAGAAAAGCUUCUAGUUAGAGAAUUACCGCCCGUACCGUAAACCGACACAGGUAUGCGGGGAGAGAAUCCUAAGGUGCGCGGGAGAACCCUCGUUAAGGAACUCGGCAAAAUGUACCCGUAACUUCGGGAUAAGGGUAGCCGCUGUUGUGAAGUCUGAACAGAUGGAGCAUGAGGCGGUCGCAGAGAAGAGGCCCAAGCGACUGUUUACCACAAACACAGGUGCCUGCUAAAGAGAAAUCUGACGUAUAGGUGCUGACACCUGCCCAGUGCCGGAAGGUUAAGGAAGGAUGUCCGGAGCAAUCCAAAGCAUUCGACCGAAGCCCCGGUGAACGGCGGCCGUAACUAUAACGGUCCUAAGGUAGCGAAAUUCCUUGUCGGGUAAGUUCCGACCCGCACGAAAGGUGUAACGAUUUGGGCACUGUCUCAACGAGGGACCCGGUGAAAUUGAAGUACCUGUGAAGAUGCAGGUUACCCGCGACUGGACAGAAAGACCCCAUGGAGCUUUACUGUAACCUGACAUUGGGUUCUGAUACAUCACGUACAGGAUAGGUGGGAGGCAUGGAAGCGAGGACGCUAGUCUUCGUGGAGCCGCCGUUGGGAUACCACCCUUGAUGUAUCGGAAUUCUAACCGUAGGAGUAACGAAACUCGGGACAGUGUCAGGCGGGCAGUUUGACUGGGGCGGUCGCCUCCCAAAGAGUAACGGAGGCGCCCAAAGGUUCCCUCAGCGCGGCCGGAAAUCGCGCGAAGAGUGUAAAGGCAGAAGGGAGCUUGACUGAGAGCCAAACACGGCGAUCAGGUACGAAAGUAGGGCUUAGUGAUCCGGUGGCAUCCAAGUG
rnacentral:rRNA from 1 species